rnacentral:rRNA from 1 species
GUCGAGAAUCUUCCGCAAUGGGCGAAAGCCUGACGGAGCGACACCGCGUGCAGGAUGAAGGCCUUCGGGUUGUAAACUGCUGUCACGCCAUAGGAAAGCCAUGCCGUUAACAGCGGCAUGGUUGACCAAAGCGAAAGGAAGCACCGGCUAACUCCGUGCCAGCAGCCGCGGUAAGACGGAGGGUGCGAACGUUGUUCGGAAUCACUGGGCAUAAAGCGCACGUAGGCGGUCAGGCAAGUCCGUUGUGAAAGCCCCCGGCUCAACCGGGGAAUGGCGUCGGAUACUACCUGGCUCGAGGACGGUUGGGGUGAGUGGAACUCCUGGUGGAGCGGUGAAAUGCGUAGAUAUCAGGAGGAACACCGGUGGCGAAAGCGGCUCACUGGACCGUUACUGACGCUGAGGUGCGAAAGCUAGGGGAGCGAACGGGAUUAGAAACCCUAGUAGUCC